rnacentral:rRNA from 1 species
UACAGAGGUCCCGAGCGUUGUUCGGAUUCACUGGGCGUAAAGGGCGCGUAGGCGGUUGUGCAAGUCGCGUGUGAAAGCCCCCGGCUCAACUGGGGAGGGUCACGCGAUACUGAUCGACUCGAAGGCAGGAGAGGGUAGUGGAAUUCCCGGUGUAGUGGUGAAAUGCGUAGAUAUCGGGAGGAACACCAGUGGCGAAGGCGACUACCUGGCCUGUUUCUUGACGCUGAGGCGCGAAAGCUAGGGGAGCAAACGGG